rnacentral:lncRNA from 1 species
UUUCCUCUCCCCCAUUUGUCCCUUCCCUCUCUACUUUGCUUUACUUUGUGGGUUUUCCUUUUGCUUAUAUUCAUUUGGUAAGACACAUUGAAGUUUGGUUUUACUAAGGUGAUAGAUCACUUGUCAACAUUUGUUGUGAAACUGGUAUACAUUUUAUUUAUAAUGAAUAAGGUCUUGAAGGUGUGAAUGAACUUCGAAACUUAAUGAGCCAAGUCGUUGAAUGGAGCAUCAGUUUGUUGUAUGAAAGAGUUCAACUUCUUGAUUGCCCAUGAUGAUUGGCUCUGAUACGAAGUUGUUAUGUGCCCUUGAAUAGGAUCUUGUCACAAGUCGAUUAAUUGGAAAAUUCUCCACUCGCCAGACUGAUCUUCCCUUAUUUAUGUUUCUACUGUUUUUUGAGGAGCCUAUUGUAAAAUAAAUAAUUUGAGAACUCAUUUGAGAGAAUUCUCAUUUCUCAUAAACUGAUGAAUAAUAUUUUCUGAAUGUUUUAUUCAAUGAUCUCAAGUGCUUUUUUAUAGUGAAGGCUAGCAACUAAAAAAUCAAAUUAGAGAUAGCAAGCUGAAUUCUGAUCUUAUGUGUUGCAACCACUUUGAUAAGAAUCUAUCAAAUAGAGGGAUAAUGCAUAUCCAUAACAAAUUUACAAUGCAAUAUAAAUGAGAUAGCAUAGAGUUCAUACUUUUCUAGAGAUUAGUUGGUCUAUCAUUCCCAUUAUCUAUGUUGUGUAUUUUUUUUGUGGCAAGUGUUCUGUAAGGUGUAAUAAAUUUAUUCCUAUUCCAUCAUAUGAUUUAUAUUUUAGAUAUUAUGCCUUUUUAAAGGCGAAUUUUACUGUCCUCGGUAUAGGGGCAAUUUAUGUAUUCAGUUGAUCAAAAUCUAACCAUUGCUAUUCUAAUGAUUAAUGUUGUGGCCUAGGGAACCCCGCCAACCUUGGCUUGGAAUGGAAGUUACUAACCUUUAUGCAGCUGAUGUGGAUAUUUUAGAGAAGAUCGUUCAAAAGUUCCCUAACGUAUUUAAGGGGGUCAUUGUUGAAGAGGUAUCGUCUUGUUUCAUGCAACUUGUUUCUAUAAGGUUGUGCAACUUGUUUCUAAAGGAUCAUAGUACUUUGGCUAAUACCGUUAUCCUCAGUCAUAGUUGUAUAAAGUUCGAGGGACAUGAGGGCGUUGGGGUACCUUAGGCUUAGGUUCAAGGGACCUUUCAGGAUUGAGGCACAUGUUUAUAUAAAAUUUGCAUAAAAGAAUAGUUAAUUUUCAUUCUAUGCAUAAGCAGCAAAUAUUGAAUCCAAGGCUGAUAAAAAAAGAUCAUCAAUGAUUCCUUUAGAUAUAGUGACAUUAACAAUUUCUAGCUUCUUGCUGGUCAAAAGAAAAAGAAAAAUUCUCUAUCUUCAUCCUUCAAGCUCUAUCAGCGCACCAUAGUUAAUUUAACACUAAAAGAAGAUUACUACUGUAUUGGGCUUAUUUGUUUUGCAAAAAACAUAUAUGAGAAAACAUUUUUUGAUAAAAGCAUUUUGAGAAAAUAACUUAUUUUCCAUUGUUUGGUUGCAAUCCUUGAAUUAGUUGGAUUUUUUCAACUUUUGGAAUGUGCCCAACUAUAAGAUUAUUUAAACCUCUUAGAACCUCAUUGUUUUCUGUGUAAUAUUAAAGUAUGGGACAAAGACAAAAAGAAAAGGAUAAAUUAUGGUAGUCAAUGGUAGUUAGUUGAUCAACUGAUAUGUAUUUACAUGGCUAUUUUUAAUGUUAUAGGUUACUUUUCUUUUAGGCCUUGUUUGGUACAAAUGUGUCUUGUUUGGUCCAAAUCUGUCACUUCCUGAGAAGUCACUUCCCAGGACCUAACUUAAUUAGGUUGGGGUAGUUCCCAGGACCUAACUUAAUUAGGUUGGGGUAGUUCCCAGGACCUAACUUAACUAGGUUGGGGUAGGUAAGUUAUUUCCCCCCACCAAGGGAGGAAAAAAACUUUUCAUUAACUGCAAUACGAAAAGUGGAAAUAGUGAUGGGAAAAAACUAGUUGGAUAAAUAAGAAGUGGAAACUUCACGGAGGUUGAGUAGUCAAAGGCCUCUCUCUCCCAUAGCCAAUACAUUCUUUUUGCAAGUUUUUGAUUUAGGAAUGGUCAUAUUGACCUAUCAAUUGAGACUUCAUUAUUAUAUCUUUUCUCUGUAAUGUUCCUCCACUGCGCCCUUGGAUGUUGCCUCAUCAAUACUUUUUUUUUACUUUACAUUAAGCAUAGAAUUGUGAAAAUCAGUUCACGUGCAUGUAAAGUGUUAAAAGUUCAGCUUGCCUUCCCAACAUUGUUGAAUUUAACAUAUGUCAUAAUUACCUAGGCAACUACUAGAAGAGUUUUUCAAUUUCAUUAUUUUGUUGUGCAUGGUGAAAACGGGGACAUAGACGAUGACAUUAUUGAGUGUCAUAUGAUUCAUAGCCUUCUCAAAUUGAAUCUAACUGAAGCAAAAGUUCUUCAGUAUUUUGUCUUACCUUGAUGCACUCUGUGACCACAAUAGUGUUUUAAUUUCAUCUAUAUAUAUAGUUUAGUAAGUGGAAGUUCUAGCAUAUGAUUUACUUAUUUGUAGUUUCUGGUUACCAUCCUAAAUGAAGUUUGACAAAUAUAUUUGUGUAUUAGUAUUCCCUCUUGAAUCUAGCUAACUAAUUGCUUAUUGUUUUGAUUGUUAUUUUAACCUAUUAAUGAUUCUUUUCAAGUACUUGAUUUGUGGAUAAAGUAUAAAGCAUAGUUCAAACUUUUCCAAUGAAUAUUAAAUCAGUGUGUUUACUAUGUGCUUAUCUUUCCUAAUUAAUUUAUUCUUUCUAAUUGGAUAUUGGAUUAUUCUACCUAUUAACCGUGAAUAGGUUAUGGCGGGCUCAUCUGCUGAUUCUGCUGGGAUAAGUCCCAAUGAUGUUAUAGUUCAAUUUGGAGGAAAAACGGGCUUUUUGCAAAUUUAGGGGCGGGAGAAGUUUUAUUUGCGGAUUUAGGAUUCGGAAAAUAUUAAUUGUCAAUUUGGGGCGUGGCAGGCGGAAAGAGCGCCUGGCGCCUCUUUGAAAGGUGCCUGGCGCCUCUUUGAAAGGUGCCUGGCGCCUCUUUGAAAGGUGCCUGGCGCCUCUUUGAAAGGUGCCUGGCGCCUCUUUGAAAGGUGCCAGGCCCUGGCGCUUCUCAAAGAAGCGCCAGAUGAAGUUUUGGCGCCAAGCGUGGCCUGACGGCCCUGACGCCUCUUUGAGAGAUGCCAAGCGUGGGCAGAAGGCCCUGGCGUCUCUCAAAGAAGCGCCAGAGCAAGUCCUGGCGGCCCUAGCGCCUCUCAAAUAAGCGUCAUGGCAAGUCCUUGUCCCCAACCCAUAUGAAACCCUCGAAAAUAUAUUAUUAUUAAUAAUAUAUUUAUAAAUUAAAAAUAUUAUAUAUUAUUAUUUUAAUAUAUUAUAAAUAAUAAUUUCAUAUUAUGGAAUUUGUAUAUAUUAAAACUAAAACUAUAAUAAAUGUACAAACUUUUAUUAAUGUUUAAAUAAAAUUAAUAAUUUAUAAUGAAAAAAAAAUGAAUUUAGUAAUGAUAUAACUAAAUUUAAUUUAAAAAAUAAGAAUAAAAUUAAUAACAAUUAAAUUUAAUUAUACAAAAAUUCACAUUAAUAUUCUCCAUAAUGUCUAACGAUGACCAUAUUAAUGACCGCCCGUGCCACAAUGUCGUGGUCUCCUCUCAUCAGAACGUCUUGUGUUGUACCGACGCCCGUCAAAUGAUGGCUCCUGUUGAGCCUCUUGAGAAUUUCCAACAUCAUCGUCAGCCAUAGAUAUAUUUAAAUCAGGAGGUUGAGAUCGAGGUCUUGAACUCUCCCCAACAACUAGAUCCUGAGUUGCAAAGCUGAAAUCUCCUGAAUAAGGGGUUGCAGAAAAUAACUCAAGAAAAUCCGAAGAAAACAAGCUAAGUCGGCUUGAGGGAUCAUCCAGUGAUUGUCGAGGGAAUGCUGGAAAAACAGACUGUCGAGGGAAUGCUGGAAAAACAGACUCUGAUGGAGUAUGUGGUUGCGCAGGGGAGAAGAAGUCGAACGACGUGCUAGCUAUGCCUUCCUCUGCAGUCUGAUCGUAAUUGGAAGGAGUUGGAGUAAAUGAAUGAAAAGGCAUAGAAGAAGGCCCUGGUGUCCAUCCUAUAUACUGACUCUUAAAAUCGUCUCCAUAAGUGGGCAUUUGUGAAGAUUGGCCCAAUUCUGUAUAUGAGCCGUAUGGAUGGAAUGCAACCGGUGAUGGUAUUUGCAUUACACCAGGGUUUGGCGUAGGCCGUGGAAUCUCCGUCUCCCUUGAUGGCCUGGUAGUGUGGCGACGAUAUCGUGGAGGAUUCCUGGAGGAGGAGGGUGUGUCAUGUACAUCAUCUGGAAGCGGUUGGGAAGGUGGCGUCGGCUGUUUAGGUGGUAUUUGGGAAAUGCGAUCGAACAAACGAAGUGCAUGAAACAUUGAAUUAACCGCAUUUCCAAUCUUGUCUACUGUUGGGUGACGAACUUGACUCGCCCAUAAGCGGCAGUUUUCCAGAUCAUCCUCUUGCAAAAUGUAUUUAUUAAGAUAUCUAUCCCAAAAGUUAAGUAAUAUAAAUAUUUAUAUAAUUAAUACAUAAAUCAUAAUGAUUCACCCAUUAUCACAGCGCCGAUUGAUGCACCCUUUUGAGACACCCACCGAUGUGCAAUUAUUCUGUACCAUUCCAUAUACUGUGAAUGGUAAUGUAACGGCUGGAUCAUAGUAUUGCUUGCGACAAUCCAUCGGUGCCUUGAUUUCCAGAGCGUAAUUCAAUGUUGGUUCUCGGUCAUCCAGUUGAUAGCUGAAGAAGUUAAUUUUAUUGAAUGCAUAUUAUCUGUUUGACGUGGUGGUUGUGGAAUGGGUUGAGAAAAUCCAAAUUGUUUCAGCACCCUGUUAGGUUGAUGCCACUCAACAAUAUGAAAACAAAUCAGUGGAACAACUGAUCUCCAUAUUUGUCUACCCUGUAGACAGUAAUCUGGCAUAGCGUCCACCACAACAUCAGAGUAUGGCUCCCAUAUAAACUAUGUAGAUAAGAUAAUGUAAAAGGUUAAAAUUGGAUAAUUUGAAUUGACAUGUAAUUAAAAGGUAUAGAAUGAUGACCUCUUCGGCUUUCAUGCGGUCAAGUUGGUACCGAAGUUGCACUAGCACAUGCGUUGUAACUUCGGUAAUACUUCUAGCAUUACUCCACCUACACAAUUUAUAGUUUGGAAUUAGUAACAAGAUGUUGGAUUUGAUGGUAUAAUAGUACACAAUUUACAGCACAUACCGACUACUAAUCGGUGUAUCUGGAAGGGGAUGUAUCUGGGAGAUGGUAAGGGCAAUUAUUUUUAUUCUGUCCCAUGCCCAAAUCUGUAAAAUAUGCAGUGGCCCGCCAAUUUGCUGCACUUGUGGUGAUGUUGCUCUGCAAAGCUCUUUAUAAAGCCAAGCAAGGCAGGCUGCACCCCAGCUAUAUUGACCACAGGUGUUGAAAUUAGCGAGUAGUGGCAAAAACAUUAGAUUGACCCUAUGAGCAGACCGAUCAACAAACAGCGAUCCACCUAUUAGCCGUAAUAGGAAAGCUCGAGCAUGCCUCUGAAUAGUAACAUCAUCAUCGUACUCUGGAAUUUGGUCAAAGUUAUUUCUCAACCAGGUGAGUGCAACAGUAUUUCCCUUCACAACUUCACGAUUCGGGACCAACCCAAGAAAUCUUGACAUAGCAAUUGCCAAGGCUGUCCUGUAGUCCCAGUAACAGCAUUGCCAUCAAUAGGCAAUCCAGAUAUUUGUCCCAUAUCUUGAAGUGUAACAGUACACUCUUCAUGGGGUAACAUAAAAGUAUGUGUUUCUGGUUUCCAUCUCUCAACCAAAGCCGUUAUGAGGUGGUGAUUUAAGUGGAAGAAGCCUAAUCGAACAGCUCCGUAAAAUCCACUAGCACAGAGAUAAGGGAUAAGCCUGUCAUCAAUAUCAUGACCGUGUAAUACGGUAGAGGAUCGUCAGCAUGUGAUUACACCAGCCUCUUGUGGAUCAUCCCACACGGCUUGGGACCUAUGAGAUGCUUGGAGAUAUAGCAAUGAAGUAUCACGUGGUUCUGGGUUGAUGAAUAAUCUACUGUCAUUUGAGCACUCUUCCUGCAAAGGGUUAUUACAACUAUCAAUUCCUUAUGUCAAUAAUUUUAAUUGUUAGACAUGAGGAUAACAUAACAGAAAUAAAAGAAAAAUGUGAAUUUACAAGGCAAUUCUUUGUUUUGGUACAAGUGAUAAUGACAUAAACCUUACCUCCUAAACCUUACCUCUUAAACCCUAACAUAUUACAUAAUACGAUAAAUGCAUGUAGACAUUUCAACAGCAUUUUGGUAGACAAUGUGGCAAAUAUUUUGUAAAAUCGCCACAAUCAUUGUCACUAUAAUCAGACAGGUCAUUAUUGUGUAUGUUGAAAUUGCUGGAAUAUGAUAACUGACUAUCAUCGUAUACACUUGGAAAUUCACAUUGUUCAGCAUGAUAUUUAUCCAGCCUCAUUUCCAUAAGCCUAAUUUCCUUAAGUAGUUGAUCCUUGAGUUUCUUAACAUCUUUACAUGUAUUUUGCAAGCCAUGUCUGUCGAUGUAGCUUUUGGAAUAGGCAACUCAUGGUAGCCACAAUAAGCUUCUAAUUCGCAUCGAAUCUCCCACAAACGUUGCCAAUCAGGUUGAAGAGCAAUUGCCACAUUUCCAAAAUUAGAAAUUUUUGUGGAAUGAUAUCCGACAAAUAUAUGGUUAGCAAAACCUUGUUUCAAACAACUAUUAGUUUGUUGAUUUGAAAAACAUUGCUUGUGACCAUACCAUGAACAACUGUUUGGAUCUAUAUAUUUGUCUAUUAAGUGUUAUGACUAUUAUAUUUUCUCUUUCCUCUGCUUGAUUGGCAUGCUGACGACUCACAAAGAUCUUUGGAGGAUGACAUUUUCUGGAUGUAACAUGCGUAUGAUCAAAUGGUUAAAUGUCAUAAACAAUCAAGGAAUCAUAACAAAUUACAGAUAUUUGCAGAAAAUAGGCCAUGUGAAAAUCAUAAAAUUUUAUUCACAGUACAUGUGUUUUUAUUAUGUCCUGAUUGGCCACAUAUAGAACAGUGAUUUUUUCCGGGAAUAUUAACUUUUGCAACCCUCCAAUCCAUUUCAUUCUGGAUCCUCGAUGGCUUUGGUCGCCCUUUUUUCCUAAUUCGGUUCUUGUUUGGAAUUAGAGGUAAUUUCUAAUCUGCAGGCCAAUAGUCUAAAUUACCUAAUGGAAUGAACAUGUCUUCGUAACAUUUAAAUGACCUUUCGAGAGUGUAGUAGCUAUCAACGAAUUGCUCAUAAUCAACAGACCUCGACAUGCAUGCUGCUAUGGCAUGUGAACAUGGGAUACGCAUUUCUUGAAAUUUAUCGCAACUACAGGUCCCUUCUAUAAGCUUAACAACUUGUUUUUGACCUGUUUUUGCACUUCGGACUUCGACAACCAAAUCAUCACGAUUAAAUGUAGCAACACGAUGGCCAUUUGCUGACUGUGCAUUUUUUUGUAUGACUUCACCAAUUGACUGGGUGAAUCUAUAGCCAUCUUGUUGCUGCCAAAGAAAUUGACUCCUUCGAAUAUCGAAGUAAUGCGCACAUUGAUAAAAUAUUUUUUCAACCAUUGCUGUAAUAGGCAAAGCUCGAAAGCCUUUCAACAUUCCAUUGACAGACUCAAUGGUGUUAGUCGUCAUUGAUCCAUAUCGCUUCCCACCAUCGUGGGAACGAGUCCACUUCUCCAAAGGAAUCUUCACGGCCCAUUCAAAGGUCUCGAGAUUUACUUUCUUAAUUUUAUUCAUCGCGUCAUAGAAUUUCCUCCUCUGGUUAUGAUUAGUUGUUACGGUAAAAAUAUAUUAUUGAAUAUGAAUAGGUUAUAUACAAUAAAAAUUUAAAUUUAAAAUAAGUAAUCGCAAAUAAUGUUUUACCAGUCUUUCGCAAACAUUCCUUCAUUGUUGCAUUCUUGAAUUUUGUGUUGUAAUUGCUCAAAAUGUGUCGUAUGCAGUAUCGAUGAUGUCCACUUGGUGAUUGCCACCAAUCCUGUUCCAUAGAUUUCUUAAUUUCAAUGUGACGAUCAGAAAUGACACAUAAAUCUUCGCGUUCUGUGACAUAAGCUCUCAAACAAGACAUGAACCAUCCCCAAUUAUCUGAAUCCUCCUCCACAAUUGCAAAAGCCAAUGGAAAUAUCUGAUUAUUUUCAUCAAGCCCUGUUGCACACAAUAUACACCCACUAUAUUUAACGUAUAGGAAUGUACCGUCAAAUAAAAUUACUGGUCGACAAUGCUUGAAUCUUUCAAUAGAUUGACGAUAAGCCCAAAACAUGUGAUCAAAUACACGAGAAGUACGAUCCAAACGAUCGUUUAUGUAAUGGGGAUCAUCUUUAAUUACGAAGAUUGAACCAGGAUUGAAGUGGCACACUGCAUUUAUGUACUUAUGGAGCCUUCCAUACGAUUCAUCCCAUCCACCAAAAAUUUUCCUAAUUGCAAAUUGUUUUGCCUUCCAUGUCUUUGAAUAUGUUGGUUCAUAUCCAAUUUUAUCUCUAACUUUUGCCUGAAGUGUUUUUAUUUUAAUGUGUGGUUGUUCUUCUAUCAUAGGCAAAAUAAAUUGACAUAUAAAUUUAUUAUCCAAUUGAGGAUGGUCUUUUUCAACUAUUGGAUUAGAACAUGUAUGCGGCCAUCAUACGAUACAAUUCUCCAAACCUCAGAUUCCUCCUUCUUUGAUGCACGCAGAUGCCAUUUACAGUUAUGUUUUUUAUAUUUGCAUUUAAUACUAUAUGUUUUCGUCUUGGUCUCAUCAGAGCAAAACUUAUGAUGUCUACGCAAAUGAUACUCCUUUGCUGCUGCUAUGAUAGCAUCUCUGUUCGGAAAAAUCAUCCCAACGGAAAACUCUUUAUUCGGAUUCCAAAACAUAUCAGUCGGUGGCUUUGCGUAAGGGUCUACACGCAUUAAUUCAAAAUCUAUUUUUGAAAAUGGGGGUGGAUGCACAAAUUGCAAAAUAGGAUUAGUAUACUGAGGAACAACAUUAUCAUCAGCUGAUAAUAAUUCUUCGUCCUCAAUCCAACCACUUUCAUACUCGUUAAUGUCAGAAUCAGAUAACCUCUUUGAAUCAACAUAUUCAUCAUCUUCAUCAACAACUUCAUUGACAAUAUUAUCAACACUAUUCAGGUUAAAGUCUUUAGUACAAAAUGGAUUUGUUGGACAUACUAUAAUUUCAUCUUGCUCUUCAAUAUUCGGACGCAAAAUACAAUGUGAAUUCUCUAAAUCAUCAAUAUAAGAGGGACCGGCACAAUCAUCUUUCUGAUUUCUGUGAAUAUCUCUAACGACAUCGACAUAAAAAAUUAUGCUUUCAGAUCCUAGUAUACAUACGUAAUCGAACAUCAUCUCUACAUCGUCAUCAUUGAGCAGCUGAACUAGUUCAAAUUUGUAAUCGUUAUCACUAAUAAUUGGUUUCCUAUAUUCAAUCUUGCAUAUGAAUUGAUUAUGGUCUAACAAAUUUGUAGAGCGAACUAUUUUCAUAAGAAGAUCCUCAUAAGUCAAUCUUCGGUUCAUACGGAAGAAAUUGUGCUGACCUCCAACAUAGGCGUAACCUAAUUCGGUUCUAAUAACAUGUCCAUCCCAGUGUACAAUGCCAUAAGUCGGACAACUCAUUUUUGUCAAAUUUAGUCCACAUUUCAAGCAUAACAAAUAUAGAAUAAGUAUUUAAUUAACGUUAAAAUUUAAGUGCAAUAUAAUUAUGCAUAUCUGUUUGUUGUAAUCAAUGCGAUCUAAUAGCCUUGGUUUGAAGAUUGUCUAUCAAACUGCAAUAUAAAUUUUAAUUUUAUGUUUAGCACCAAAUACAUAAUAUCGUUAAAAUAAAUAUUAUUAAAAUAAAUACAUUAUAUCAUAAAAAUUAUCAAAUAAUAAGAAUUAUAUUACACCACAUAAAUUGUUAAAUAAAUAUAUUAAAUAAUGUAACUAAUCUUCACAAAUUAUUUAAAAUUGAAAGGAGGGUGUAUUGAGAUUAGGAAUAGAAAUUGUAAGGGAAGUUGAGUAGAGUGGAGGAGAGUAAGAGUUGGAAAAUGAGGUGAGUAAGGGUGGGGCGGGGAUAUUUAUAAAUAGAAACUUGGCGCCGCUUUAAAUGGCGUCAGGCUUAUCGAAGACUGCAUCUUGGCGCCACUAGCGCCAGGUUCAGGUCUUCCACCAGUCCCGAGGCGCGUCCGGAAGACGCAUCGAAACUUAACCAGCUUGGGACCAUUCAAAAUAGCGCCAGGUUCAGGUCUUCCACCCGUCCCGAGGUGCCGCGCGACCCGUGACUGAUACUCCUGUCCUUGGCGCCACUUAAAGUGGCGCCAGGACUUGGGUGGGAGAGAUUCUAUGCCAUGAAGAGAAGAGACCAUAAUGGCACCUCUUCAUGGUAGAGAUACUUUGCAUGAAUAAAGCAUAGCGCCUCUUUAAGUGGCGCCAGGUCCUCUACAACAUCCAUAUUUUAUUUUGCUACUUUUAACUUACCUUUUUUCUUUCUUAAAUAUAUUUUUUUUAAAUUUAUUGAUGUUGUAUUUUUUAUAAUUAUAAUAUUUCAAAUAAAAAUUUCUAGAUGACUAAAAAUUUAGUUAUAUCGCAAUGUGGCUUAUAAAAUGAAUAGAACACUCAACUUUUUUUUUUCUCCAUAUUUAUCAAUAUAACAAAUAUAAUUUAAUAGAAUGACGUUCUUUUAUUAAAAAUUUAAUAUUUUACAUUUGUAAAUUAAAUUGUAAUUUUCAAUAUACUUUAAAUUGUUUAUGCAUUUAUAAUUAAUUACAAUUAAAUUAACUAUAUUUUUUUAUUUUAAAUUUUAUAAUUUAAGAUCAAUUACCUACAUAUUAUAUUUUAUACGUUUUAAUCUAAACCCAAUUUUUAAAUAAUUAUUAAUUAAAAUUUUUACUAAUAAAUUUACAAUAAAAAUAUUAAUAUUAAAUAUAUGUAACACAACAAAAUAGACAUUUAUAAAAAAAACGAUAUUACAAAUUUAAAAUACUAACUAAUUACAUAGAUUUUAAUAUAUCUAUUUAUUUUUACAUUUUCCGAAUUUGCGCCCUUCGCUUGAACGUUUUGCGGAUUUAAAUGUUCUUCCCAUUCUUUGUUCCAAAUAAUCAUACAUAUUCGCUUGAUAACUGGUACGUUAACCUCCUCCUGAAAUUAAUAAGUCAGUAAGUAUAUUGAUUAAAAUAUGCAUUAAAAUUAAAUAUUAAGCUUAACUAAAUACGUACCUCUUAAUAUUCUAUUCUCUCUUUUACAAAAUUCUUUUUGCGAAAUAGAAAGACUGUAUUGGAGACGCAUGUAAGGUGCAUAAUCCAAUUUUUCAUAAAUACGAAAAUAAUAAUUGACUAUAUCAGAAUAAUUUUCUAUUUUGGCUUUUGAGCAAAUAAAACUUAAAAUCUUAAAAUAAUACAACGGAACAGUUUCAAUCAAAACAUCAACCAUUUCUAUAUUCCGCAUGUUAUAACUAGAACAAAUUGUUUCUUGCAAAUAAUAAUUAAGCCAUAAAAUAUGUUGGAAAAAAUUGCUCUGAGAAUCUAUUUUUAAUUUAUAUAUUUCUUUCCACAUUCUUUUCACUCUAUUUUUAGCAAAUUUAUCUCGUAAAAUUUUUGGAACAACAUAAAUAUAAGCCAUAAAUCAAUUAAAACAGAAAGAGGAAGAUGAUAAAGAAGUUAAAAAAAAAUUCAACAGGAAAGAAAUAAGUAAAAGCAGAGAUGAAAACAAGCGUAGCAGAGGUGAAAAUAAGCAGAGAUGAAAACGAGCGUAGCAGAUGGGGCAUUUAUAGGGUGAAGGUGGCGCCUCUUUAAGAGGCGUCAGGAUGGGUUGGCGCUUCUUUAAGAGGCGCCAGGGCGAUGCGUUUUUCGGGCUUUUUGCAAAUUUAAGGGCGGGAGAAGUUUUAUUUGCGGAUUUGGGGUUCGAAAAAUAUUAAUUGCCAAUUUGGGGUUCGUGGCAGGCGAAAAGAGCGCCUGGCGCCUCUUUAAAAAGCACCAGGCUCUGGCGCUUCUCAAAGAAGCGCCAGAUGAAGUCUUGGCACCUAUCAAAGAGGCGCCAAGCGUGGCCUGACGGUUCGCAGAUAGGUCGGUGCUUCUUAAAGAGGCGCCAGCCUCACCCUGGCGCCUCGGGAAGCCUGACAUCUCGAAAAAACGCAUCGCCACGCCUCUUAAAGAGGCGCCACCUUCACCCUAUAAAUGCCCCAUCUGCUACGCUCGUUUUCAUCUCUGCUUGUUUUCACCUCUGCUACGCUUGUUUUCAUCUCUGAAUUUUUUUUUAACUUCUUUAUCCUCUUCCUCUUUCUGUUUUAAUUGAUUUAUGGCUUAUAUUUAUGUUGUUCCAAAAAUUUUAUGAGGUAAAUUUGUUAAAAAUAGAGUGAAAAGAAUGUGGAAAGAAAUAUAUAAAUUAAGAAUAGAUUCUCGGAGCAAUUUUUUCCAACAUAUUUUGUGGCUUAAUUAUUAUUUGCAAGAAAUAAUUUGUUCCGGUUAUAACAUGCGGAAUAUAGAAAUGGUUGAUAUUUUGAUUGAAACUGUUCCGUUGUAUUAUUUUAAGAUUUUAAGUUUUAUUUGCUCAAAACCCGAAAUAGAAAAUUAUUUUGAUAUAGUCGAUUAUUAUUUUUGUAUUUAUGAAAAAUUGGAUUAUGCAUCUUGGAUGCGUCUCUAAUACAGUCUUCCUAUUUCGCAAAAAGAAUUCUGUAAAAGAGAGAAUAGAAGAUUAAGAGGUACGUAUUUAGUUAAGCUUAAUAUUUAAUUUUGAUGUAUAUUUUAAUCAAUAUACUUACUGACUUAUUAAUUUCAGGAGGAGGUUAAUGUACUAGUUAUCAAGCGAAUAUGUAUGAUUAUUUGGAACAAAGAAUGGGAAGAACAUUUAAAUCCGCAAAACGUUCAAGCAAAGGGCGCAAAUUCGGAAAAUGUAAAAAUAAAUAGAUAUAUUAAAAUCUAUGUAAUUAGUUAGUAUUUUAAAUUUGUAAUAUCGUUUUUUUUAUAAAUGUCUAUUUUGUUGUGUUACAUAUAUUUAAUAUUAAUAUUUUUAUUGUAAAUUUAUUAGUAAAAAUUUUAAUUAAUAAUUAUUUAAAAAUUGGGUUUAGAUUAAAACGUAUAAAAUAUAAUAUGUAGGUAAUUGAUCUUAAAUUAUAAGAUUUAAAAUAAAAAAAUAUAGUUAAUUUAAUUGUAAUUAAUUGUAAAUGCAUAAAAAAUUUAAAGUAUAUUAAAAAUUACAAUUUAAUUUACAAAUGUAAAAUAUUAAAUUUUUAAUAAAAGAACGUUAUUCUAUUAAAUUAUAUUUGUUAUAUUGAUAAAUAUGGAGAAAAAAAAAGUUGAGUGUUCUAUUAAUUUUAUAAGCCACAUUGCGAUAUAACUAAAUUUUUAGUCAUCUAGAAAUUUUUAUUUGAAAUAUUAUAAUUAUAAAAAAUACAUCAAUAAAUUUUAAAAAAUAUAUUUCAGAAAGAAAAAAAGGGUAAGUUAAAAGUAGCAAAAUAAAAUAUGGAUGUAGUAGAGGACCUGGCGCCACUUAAAGAGGCGCUAUGCUUUAUUCAUGGAAGAGUAUCUCUGCCAUGAAGAGGCGCCACUUAUAAUGGCGCCAUGGUCUCUUCUCUUCAUGGCAGAGAAUCUCUGCCAUGAAGAGAUUUAAAUUUCUUUUUUACAUACUACUUCCACUAUUUAAUAACUAAUUAAUAUGGUUGGUCCCAUAUUUUUCAAAAGUUGAAUAUAUUUUUUGACCAAUAAAAAUUGAAAGCUAGUCUUAUAGUAGCUCCAAAACCUACUGGGAUAGCAAUCACCAAACAGAACAGUGAUAUCAUUGGUCUACUUAUUCCAGCUAAGCACAGACAAUUGAAAAAUCGGAGGAUUUUUUUUUUGCCAUUAGACGGUAAGGGAAGUCGAUUGUAAGAUCAUUAAUUUUUUUAAAAACGUAGUGUCGGCUAAGGGAAGUAUUGGCACUAUGGAAUGUUGUGUGGGAAGAGACGUGUCACAAACAGCAAUUGAAGUCAUCAACUUCACCAUCGUACUUCUCUUCAUGGCAGAGAUUCUCUGCCACCCAAGUCCUGGCGCCACUUAAAGGUGUAUCUGUCGCGUGGCGCCUCGGGACUAGUGGAAGACCUGAACCUGGCGCUGUUUUGAAUGGCACCAGGCUGGUUAAGUCCCGAUGCGUCUUCUAGACGCGCCCCGGAACUGGUGGAAGACCUGAACCCGGCGCUGUUUUGAAUGGUGCCAGGCUGGUUAAGUCCCGAGGCGUCUUCCGGUCUGGGAGACACCUCGGUACUGCUACAAGACCGCAUUCUGGCGCCACUUAAAGUGGAGCCAGGAUGCGGUCUUCGAUAAGCCUGGCGCCAUUUAAAGCGGCGCCAGGUUUCUAUUUAUAAAUAUCCCCGCCCCGCCCCGCUCCACCCUUACUCACCUCACUUUCCAACUCUUACUCAACUCUUACUCUCCUCCACUCUACUCAACUUCCCUUACAAUUUCUAUUCCUAAUCUCAAUACACCCUCCUUUCAAUUUUAAAGAAUCUGUGAAGGUUAGUUACAUUAUUUAAUAUAUUUAUUUAACAAUUUAUGUGGUGUAAUAUAAUUCUUAUUAUUUGAUAAUUUUUAUGAUAUAAUGUAUUUAUUUUAAUAAUAUUUAUUUUAACGAUAUUAUGUAUUUGGUGCUAAACAUAAAAUUAAAAUUUAUAUUGCAAUUUGAUAGAUAAUCUUCAAACCAAGGCUAUUAGAUCGCAUUGAUUACAACAAACAGGUAUGCGUAAUUAUAUUAUACUUAAAUUUUAACGUUAAUUAAAUACUUAUUCUAUAUUUGUUAUGUUUGAAAUGUGGACUAGAUUUGACAAAAAUGAGCUGUCCGACUUAUGGCAUUGUACACUGGGAUGGACAUGUUAUUAGAACCAAAUUAGGUUACGACUAUGUUGGUGGUCAGCACAAUUUCUUCCGUAUGAAACGAAGGUUGACUUAUGAGGAUCUUCUUUUGAAAAUAGUUCGCUCUACAAAUUUGUCAGACCAUAAUCAAUUCAUAUGCAAGAUUGAAUAUGGGAAACCAAUUAUUAGUGAUAACGAUUACAAAUUUGAACUAGUUCAGCUGCUCAAUGAUGAUGAUGUAGAGAUGAUGUUCGAUUACGUAUGUUUAUGAGGAUCUGAAAGCAUAAUUUUUUAUAUCGAUGUCGUUAGAGAUAUUCACAGAAAUCAGAAAGAUGAUUGUGCUGGUCCCUCUUAUAUUGAUGAUUUACAGAAUUCACACUGUAUUUUGUGUCUGAAUAUUGAAGAGCAAGAUGAAAUUAUAGUAUGUCCAACUAAUCCAUUUUGUACUGAAGACUUUAACCUGAAUAGUGUUGAUAAUAUUGUCAAUGAAGUUGUUGAUGAAGAUGAUGAAUAUGUUGAUUUAGAGAGGUUAUCUGAUUCUGACAUUAACGAGUAUGAAAGUGAUUGGAUUGAGGACGACGAAUUAUUAUCAGCUGAUGAUAAUGUUGUUCCUCAGUAUACUAAUCCUAUUUUGCCACUUGUGCAUCCACCCCCAUUUUCAGAAAUAGAUUUUGAAUUAAUGCGUGUAGACCUUUACGCAAAGCCACCGACUGGUAUGUUUUGGAAUCCGAAUAAAGAGUUUUCCGUUGGGAUGAUUUUUCUGAAUAAAGAUGUUGUCAUAGUAGCAGCAAAGGAGUAUCAUUUGCGUAGACAUCAUAAGUUUUGCUCUGAUGAGACCAAGAAAAAAACAUAUAGUAUUAAAUGCAAAUAUAAAAAACAUAACUGUAAAUGACAUCUGCGUGUAUCAAUGAAGGAGGGAUAUGAGGUUUGGAGAAUUGUAUCGUAUGAUGGGCUGCAUACAUGUUCUAAUCCAAUGGUUGAAAAAGACCAUCCUCAAUUGGAUAAUAAAUUUAUGUCAAUUUAUUUUGCCUAUGAUAGAAGAACAGCCACAUAUUAAAAUAAAAAUACUUCAGACAGAAGUUAGAGAUAAAAUUGGAUAUGAACCAACAUAUUCAAAGACAUGGAAGGCAAAACAAUUUGCAAUUAGGAAAAUUUUUGGUGGAUGGGAUGAAUCGUAUGGAAGGCUCCGUAAGUACAUGAAUGCUGUGUGCCACUUCAAUCCUGGUUCAAUCUUCGUAAUUGAAGAUGAUCCCCAUUACAUAAACGAUUGUUUGGAUCGUACUUCUCGUGUAUUUGAUCGCAUGUUUUUGGCUUAUCGUCAAUCUAUUGAAGGAUUCAAGUAUUGUCGAUCAGUAAUUUUUGUUGACAGUACAUUCCUAUACGGUAAAUAUAGUGGGUGUAUAUUGUGUGCAACAGGGCUUGAUGGAAAUAAUCAGAUAUUUCCAUUGGCUUUUGCAAUUGUGGAGAAGGAGGAUUCAGAUAAUUGGGGAUGGUUCAUAUCUUGUUUGAGAGCUUAUGUCACAGAACGCGAAGAUUUAUGUGUCAUUUCUGAUUGUCACAUUGGAAUUAAGAAAUCUAUGGAACAAGAUUGGUGGCAACCACCAAGUGGACAUAAUCGAUACUGCAUACGGCACAUUUUGAGCAAUUACAACACAAAAUUCAAGAAUGCAAUAAUGAAGGAAUGUUUGCGAAAGGCUGGUAAAACAUCAUUUGCGAUUACUUAUUUUAAAUUUAAAAUUUUAUUGUAUAUAACCUAUUCAUAUUCAAUAAUAUAUUUUUACCGUAACAGCUAAUCAUAACCAAAGGAGGAAAUUCUAUGACGCGAUGAAUAAAAUUAAGGAAGUAAAUCUCGAGACCUUUGAAUGGGUUGUGAAGAUUCCUUUGGAGAAGUGGACUCGUUCCCACGAUGGUGGGAAGCGAUAUGGAUCAAUGACGACUAACACCAUUGAGUCUGUCAAUGGAAUGUUGAAAGGCUUUCGAGCUUUGCCUAUUACAACAAUGGUUGAAAAAAUAUUUUAUCAAUGUGCGCAUUAUUUUGAUACUCGAAGGAGUCAAUUUCUUUGGCAGCAACAAGAUGGCUAUAGAUUCACCCAGUCAACUGGUGAAGUUAUACAAAAAAAUGCACAGUCAGCAAAUGGCCAUCGUGUUGCUACAUUUAAUCGUGAUGAUUUGGUUGUCGAAGUCCGAAGUGCAAAAACAGGUAAAAAACAAGUUGUUAAGCUUAUAGAAGGGACCUGUAGUUGCAGUAAAUUUCAAGAGAUGCGUAUCCCAUGUUCACAUGCCAUAGCAACAUGCAUGUCGAGGUCUGUUGAUUAUGAGCAAUUCGUUGAUAGCUACUAUACUCUCGAAAGGUCACUUAAAUGUUAUGAAGAUAUGUUCAUUCCAUUAGGUAAUUCAGACUAUUGGCCUGCAGAUUAUGAAUUACCUCUAAUUCCAAACAAGAACCGAAUUAGGAAAAAAGGGUGACCAAAGUCAUCGAGGAUCCAGAAUGAAAUGGAUUGGAGGGUAGCAAAAGUUAAUAUUCCCGGAAAAAAUCAUUGUUCUAUAUGUGGCCAAUCGGGACAUAAUAAAAAGACAUGUACUGUGAAUAAAAUUUUAUGAUUUUCACAUGGCCUAUUUUCUGCAAAUAUCUGUAAUAGUCAUAACACUCUAAUAGACAAAUUUAUAGUCAUAACACUAAUAGACAAAUUUAUAGAUCCAAACAGUUGUUCAUGGUAUGGUCACAAGCGAUAUUUUUCAAAUCAACCAACUAAUAGUUGUUUGGAACAAGGUUUUGCUAACCAUAUAUUUGUCGGAUAUCAUUCCACAAAAAUUUUUGAUUUCGGAAAUGCGACAAUUGCUCCUCAACCUGAUUGGCAACGUUUGUGGGAGAUUCGAUGCGAAUUAGAAGCUUAUUGUGGCUACCAUGAGUUGCCUAUUCCAAAAGCUACAUCGACACACAUGGCUCGCAAUAUAUGUAAAGAUGUUAAGAAACUCAAGGAUCAACUACUUAAGGAAAUUAGGCUUAUGGAAAUGAGGCUGGAUAAAUAUCAUGCUGAACAAAGUGAAUUUCCAAGUGUAUACGACGAUAGUCAGUUAUCAUAUUCCAGCAAUAUCAACGUACACGAUAAUGACUUGUCUGAUUAUAGUGACAAUGAUUGUGGCGAUUUUACAAAAUAUGUGCCACAUUGUCUACCAAAAUGCUGUUGAAAUGUCUACAUGCAUUUAUCGUGUUAUGUAAUAUGUUAGGGUUUAGAAGGUAAGGUUUAUGUCAUUAUCACUUGUACCAAAACAAAGAAUUGCUUUGUAAAUUCACAUUAUUUUUUUAUUUCUGUUAUGUUAUCCUCAUGUCUAGCAAUUAACAUUAUUGACAUAAUUAAUUGAUAGUUGUAAUAACCCUUUGCAGGAAUGGAGUGCUCAAAUGACAAUAGAUUAUUCAUCAACCCAGGACCACGUGAUACUUCAUUGCUAUAUCUCCAAGCAUCUCAUAGGUCCCAAGUCGUGUGGGAUGAUCCACAAGAGGCUGGUGUAAUCACAUGCUGACGAUCCUCUACCGUAUUACACGGUCAUGAUAUUGAUAACAGGCUUAUCCCUUAUCUCCAUGCUAGUGGAUUUUACGGAGCUGUUCGAUUAGGCUUCUUCCACUUAGAUCACCACCUCAUAAUGGCUUUGGUUGAGAGAUGGAGACCAGAAACACAUACUUUUAUGUUACCCCAUGGAGAGUGUACUGUUACACUUCAAGAUAUGGGACAAAUAUCUGGAUUGCCUAUUGAUGGCAAUGCUGUUACUGGGACUACAGGACAGCCUUGGCAAUUGCUAUGUCAAGAUUUGCUUGGGUUGGUCCCGAAUCGUGAAGUUAUGAAGGGAAAUACUGUUGCACUCACCUGGUUGAGAGAUACUGCCAUUUAUGUUUUGUGCAAUAUGAUGCUCUGAGUUUAUAACUGUAUGCUACUUUUUUUAGGUUGUUGCACACCUAUCAAAUGGUAAUUCAUUUGAUUGUCAAAUCUUGGCAUUUGAUUUCCACUAUAAUAUUGCUGCCUUAAAGAUCCAGUCAGAGUCAGAUGCUCCACUCCCAACUGCAUGCUUGGCACAUUUGGAUGAUUCUAUCUCAGUUGAUCCCAAUCAGCUUUACAUUCCUGAAGAAAAACCUUUUCAGCUUCUCCCACAUUCAAAAUCAUUUAAUCUCAUCCCUGGGGAUACAUUAAUUGUGCUUGGACGUUAUUUUAUAAAGCCAUAUGAUGUCAUGGCUACUAUUGGUGAAUUCAGGUAAAGCAAUAUAGAUUAACUCUGCUGUUUAAUUUAAUUAUAUGUCGGACAUAUGCACUUUCUCUAUUAUGAGCUAUUAUAUAGUGUAACUGUAUUUCCAAUAUGACUAUACCUAAUUGCUAUCUUAAUCACUGACAUUAUUCUUUUUUCUUUUGGUCUCAAUCGCUGUGAAUAUGAUUGUAAAGAGCUGUUGAGGGUGAACUGCCAAAUCACAAGAGUAAUUUCCUCUCCCCCAUUUGUCCCUUCCCUCUCUACUUUGCUUUACUUUGUGGGUUUUCCUUUUGCUUAUAUUCAUUUGGUAAGACACAUUGAAGUUUGGUUUUACUAAGGUGAUAGAUCACUUGUCAACAUUUGUUGUGAAACUGGUAUACAUUUUAUUUAUAAUGAAUAAGGUCUUGCGUUUCCGUUGUAACAUAUAUAUUUUCUUUUGUAGUGUGGCAUUGGGGGCCCAUUUAUCAACUAUUAUGGGGAAGUUAUAGGAAUCUGUUUUCAUGAUUUGGGUUUUACUCCUUUUUUGCCAAUUAAUGUAGCUUCCAAAUGGUGGGAGCACUACAAGAGAUGUGGGUAUGCACCAAAUCUUUCUAGCUAUCAUUUUACUGUCAAAUGAAUAAUGCACGUGUCUGUUAUGUUUAAAUCUCUUUUCUUUUUGUUCUUAUCAUUUUAUUAAAGCAAAUAGCAAAAGGUACCUCAUGUCUCGCAUUUGGAGACAUUUCAAAAUAUUUAUAAAAGAGACACAAGGCUUUUUAUAUAAUCAUGGUUUUAGAUAAUGGCUAUCAUGUUAUUUUAUGGUGUUAUUUAUAGUUCUUUGAGGGGUUUGUUACUUAUUACCCUGUUAUUAAAAGGCAUCUUGUGGGUUGCAUAGGGAACAACAAUUACAAGUGUUAAUGACAGUUAUUUGGAAUUAAGCAACGGUAAUGGACAUUACCCCCAAUGAUGCAUUUGGUAAAAAAAAGCAUGCACACUGUUUUCCUGACGUGUAAUAUUUUUUUCUUCCCCUUCUAGUUCCUUUUGAGAUGCACUUGGCAAUUAUUUUAAGUUUUCCUUUUAGAACUUGAGGUAAUUACUGGUCAUGUGUGAUAAGUUCCAUCAAAUCUUAACUCUAAUUUAUUUUUAAUUGAUACACUCAAAUAGUCUAAUGGGGUGCAUAUAUCACCCUUCUUUUAAUUAACUACAGAACCUUAAGUUAACCUUCUUCUUUGUCAUGAUUUCUAAAUCACGAGUGUAAACCUGUCUUAUUUAGGACUUCUUUGGCCUUAAUGCUAUAUCUAAAUGCACUCUGUGGAAUUUUGGAAAAUUUUCCAUGUGUAUGGUCAACACUAAUGAAAGAACUAAAAGUGGGUAGAUGAUAUCCAUUAAUAUUCAAUCUAAACAUUUUAUGAGAUGUUUCUAUGGUAAGAAAUUUGUUAUGUGCCCUUGAAUAGGAUCUCGUCGUAGGUCGAUUAACUAGAAAAUCCUCCUCUUGCCGGACUGACUUUUCCUUGUUAAUAUUUCUACUUUUCUUUGAGUAACCUAUUGUGGAAUAAAUUGAGAACUCGUUUGAAAAAAUUUUCAGAUCUCAUAAACUGAUGAAUAAUAUUUUCUAAAUGUUUUAUUCAAUAAUCUCAAAUGCCUUUUUAUAGUGAAAGCUACAUUUAGAUUGUAUCAACAUUUGAAUUCAAAAUACUUACUAUUUUCUAUUAAAAAUUAAAAAUUUAACUAAAGAUAGCAACUAAAAAAUCAAAUUAGAGAUAACAAGCUAAGAUACUGAUCUUAUUUGUUGCAACCACUUUGAUUAGAAUCUAUUAAAUAGAAGGAUAAUGCGUAUCCAUAACAUUAUCCCCUUCUUUGAGAAAAAGCUGACCUCAAGCUUGUCCUCGGUCAUCUUAUUCAAUAAUAGGAGACCUUGGAUCCUUCAACUCCAUCGAAAAUAAUUUUUUGUAUUGAUUGUUAACAGAAUAUGUCUUAUCAUAGUUAUAGCAGAGACCUUUAGCUUGAUGUUCAACCAUUUUUGUCCUGCUAAGUCUUUUGACAAAUGGAGUUGAGGUGCUUUCGACAUUUGAAGACGCUCCAUUAUUGCCAGAAGAUGGUGUAGACCCUUGAAAUUCAAGACCUGUAAGGUGUCAUCAUUAAAUCAAAUUGUUGUUUCUUCUCGAAUGUUCGUGCAAAAUUCAUUGUUGUAACUAAAUUAGGAGGGGUUUUAGUUCCACCUUAAGCCGAAUAGUCUUCGACAAUCUCGCAGUAAAAAAGUCAACUUGUUGGUUGGUUCAAACAAUUGUUGCUCUUGCCAAUAAGGAUUGAAAUUAGCGUUGAUAAAUCUUCUACUGAUUCAACUUGCUUCAAAUUCACCAACUCCCCCAAGGGAUUGCUAUGAAAAGGACUACUAAAUCGCAAGUUGCAGUUCUCCUUGAACACUUGCCAUGUCAUUUUAGGUUCUUCUUGUUCAAGUCUAUAAUACCAAAAUUGAGUCUCACCCAUAAGAUGGAAGGCAACUAGAUUGACUUUAUCUGUUUAGUUUCGUAUAUCUAGGCACUACAGAAUGAUCAUUAUUUGGUUGGACAAUUUUGUUGACCGCUACUCGUUCCAUCUUGGUUUUGGUUUGCUCCUCUAUUGAAGGUGCGAAUGAGCUCCGAAACUUAAUGAGCCCCGGCUCUGAUACGAAGUGGUUAUAUGCCCUUGAAUAGGAUCUCGUCACAAGUCCAUUAAUUGGAAAAUUCUCCUCUCGCCAAACUGAUCUUCCCUUAUUAAUGUUUCUACUUUGCUUUGAGGAGCCAAUUGUAAAAUAAAUAAUUUGAGAACUCAUUUGAGAGAAUUCUCAUUUCUCAUAAACUGAUGAAUAAUAUGAUCUCAAGUGUUUUUUUAUAGUGAAGGCCAGCAACUAAAAAAUCAAAUUAGAGAUAUCAAGCUAAAUACUGAUCUUAUGUGUUGCAACCACUUUGAUCAGAAUCUAUCAAAUAGAUGGAUAAUGCAUAUCCAUAACAAAUUUACAAUGCAAUAUAAAUGAGAUAGCAUAGAGUUCAUAUUUUUCUAGAGAUUAGUUGGUCUAUCAUUCCCAUUAUCUAUGUUGUGUAUUUUUUUGUGGCAAGUGUUCUGUAAGGUGUAAUAAAUUUCAUCCUAUUCCAUCAUAUAAUUUAUAUUUUAGAUAUUACGCCCUUUUAAAGGCGAAUUUUACUGUCCUCGCUAUAGGGGCAAUUUAUGCAUUCAGCUGAUCAAAAUCUAACCAUUGCUAUUCUAAUGAUUAAUGUUGUGGCCUAGGGAACCCGCCGACCUUGGCUUGGAAUGGAAGUUACUAACCUUUAUGCAGCUGAUGUGAAUAUUUUAGAGAAGAUCAUUCAAAAGUUCCCUAACGUAUUUAAGGGGGUCAUUGUUGAAGAGGUAUUGUCUUGUUUCAUGCAACUUGUUUCUAAAGGAUCGUAGUACUUUGGCUAAUACCGUUAUCCUCAGUCAUAGUUGUAUAAAGUUCGAGGGACACGAGGGCUUUGGGGUACCUUAGGCUUAGGUUCAAGGGACCUUUCAGGAUUGAGGCACAUGUUUAUAUAAAAUUUGCAUAAAAGAAUAGUUAAUUUUCAUUCUAUGCAUAAGCAGCAAAUACUGAAUCCAAGGCUGAUAAAAAAAGAUCAUCAAUGAUUCCAUUAGAUAUAGUGGCAUUAACAAUUUCUAGCUUCUUGCAGGUCAAAAGAAAAAGAAAAAUUCUCUAUCUUCAUCCUUCAAGCUCUAUCAGCGCACCAUAGUUAAUUUAACACUAAAAGAAGAUUACUACUGUAUUGGGCUUAUUUGUUUUGCAAAAAACAUAUAUGAGAAAACAUUUUUUGAUAAAAGCAUUUUGAGAAAAUAACUUAUUUUCCAUUGUUUGGUUGCAAUCCUUGAAUUAGUUGGAUUUUUUCAACUUUUGGAAUGUGCCCAACUAUAAGAUUAUUUAAACCUCUUAGAACCUCAUUGUUUUCUGUGUAAUAUUAAAGUAUGGGACAAAGACAAAAAGAAAAGGAUAAAUUAUG